CGAUCGCCGAAGUUAAGCAACGUCGAGCCUGGUUAGUACCGAGAUGGUUGACUACUUGGGAAUACCAGGUGCUGUAA